UACGAAGGGGGCUAGCGCUGCUCGGAAUCACUGGGCGUAAAGCGCACGUAGGCGGAUUGUUAAGUCAGGGGUGAAAUCCUGGAGCUCAACUCCAGAACUGCCUUUGAUACUGGCGAUCUCGAGUCCGGGAGAGGUGAGUGGAACUGCGAGUGUAGAGGUGAAAUUCGUAGAUAUUCGCAAGAACACCAGUGGCGAAGGCGGCUCACUGGCCCGGUACUGACGCUGAGGUGCGAAAGCGUGGGGAGCAAACAGG
rnacentral:rRNA from 1 species